GGGUAACGGCCCACCUAGUCUUCGAUGGAUAGGGGUUCUGAGAGGAAGGUCCCCCACAUUGGAACUGAGACACGGUCCAAACUCCUACGGGAGGCAGCAGUGAGGAAUAUUGGUCAAUGGGCGAGAGCCUGAACCAGCCAAGUAGCGUGAAGGAUGACUGCCCUAUGGGUUGUAAACUUCUUUUAUAAAGGAAUAAAGUCGGGUAUGGAUACCCGUUUGCAUGUACUUUAUGAAUAAGGAUCGGCUAACUCCGUGCCAGCAGCCGCGGUAAUACGGAGGAUCCGAGCGUUAUCCGGAUUUAUUGGGUUUAAAGGGAGCGUAGAUGGAUGUUUAAGUCAGUUGUGAAAGUUUGCGGCUCAACCGUAAAAUUGCAGUUGAUACUGGAUAUCUUGAGUGCGGUUGAGGCAGGCGGAAUUCGUGGUGUAGCGGUGAAAUGCUUAGAUAUCACGAAGAACUCCGAUUGCGAAGGCAGCCUGCUAAGCUGCAACUGACAUUGAGGCUCGAAAGUGUGGGUAUCAAACAGGAUUAGAUACCCUGGUAGUCCACACGGUAAACGAUGAAUACUCGCUGUUUGCGAUAUACUGCAA
rnacentral:rRNA from 1 species